CACUUCUCUUCCUGCUCCUCCUCCGCGGGGCUUGUGCGAGCGAAGGGCGGGAGUCAUGGCGGAAAGCGGCGCCGUGGACGGGGAUUUUCCGCCUUCUCCCUCACCGCCGCCGCCACAGCCCUCGCCUGCGAGCCGCUGCCCGUGGCAAUGGGAGCGGCUGAGGCUGGCGGCGGGACCUUGGGCCCGGAGCCUGGGCUUGGUGGCGGCCCUCGGCCUGCUCUAUUGCCUGCGGGGCCCACUUCGGCUGAGGGACAACCUGGCGGCAGUGACCGUUUUCUUGAGCACCCUGACUCCAAAAUUCUACGUUGCACUUACGGGGACUUCAUCUCUGAUAUCUGGUUUGAUAUUUAUAUUUGAAUGGUGGUACUUCAGGAAAUAUGGCACAUCCUUCAUAGAACAGGUAUCUGUGAGCCAUUUGCGACCACUUAUUGGAGGAACAGAGAAUACUAUUUCUCCACAAACAACGUUCUCUGCCACAAAUGGAGAAAAUGAGAUGAACAGGCAAAGUCUGUCAGAGUGCAAGGUAUGGAGAAAUCCCCUCAACCUCUUUAGAGGAGCAGAGUAUAGCAGGUAUACUUGGGUGACUGGAAAAGAACCACUUACAUAUUAUGACAUGAACUUAUCUGCUCAAGAUCAUCAGACAUUUUUCACAUGUGAAACAGACUCACUUCGGCCUUCAGAUUCAGUUAUGCAGAAGGCAUGGCGGGAGAGAAACCCCCAGGCCCGGAUCAAAGCAGCAUAUCAAGCUUUGGAAAUAAAUAAUGACUGUGCAAUGGCAUAUGUUCUACUGGCAGAGGAAGAAGCAAUAACUAUUGUAGAUGCUGAAAAAUAUUUCAAGCAGGCUCUGCGAGCAGGAGAAACAAUUUAUAGGAAGUCUCAGCACUGCAGCACUCAAAGCCCCCAACAUGAAGCACAGCUUAGAAGAGACACCAAUGUGCUGGUUUAUGUGAAAAGAAGACUAGCUAUGUGUGCAAGAAAACUUGGAAGAAUUAAAGAAGCAGUGAAAAUGAUGAGAGAUUUAAUGAAAGAAUUUCCUCUUCUAAGUGUAUUGAAUAUCCAUGAAAACCUCCUGGAAGCACUUCUGGAACUACAGGCUUAUGCUGAUGUCCAGGCAGUUCUAGCAAAGUAUGAUGAUAUCAGUCUUCCAAAGUCAGCAGCAAUAUGUUAUACAGCAGCACUUUUAAAGGCCAGAGCAGUUUCUGAUAGGUUCUCGCCAGAAACAGCCUCUAGAAGAGGGCUUAGCACAGCAGAAAUCAGUGCUGUAGAGGCAAUUCACAGGGCAGUUGAAUUUAACCCUCAUGUACCAAAGUAUCUGUUAGAAAUGAAAAGCUUGAUCUUACCCCCAGAACACAUUCUGAAACGAGGAGACAGUGAAGCAGUGGCAUAUGCUUUCUUCCAUCUGCAACAUUGGAAGCGAAUAGAGGGUGCUCUUAAUUUGUUACAUUGCACAUGGGAAGGAACGUUUAGAAUGAUUCCUUAUCCGUUAGAAAAGGGCCAUCUAUUUUAUCCCUACCCCAGCUGUACAGAGACAGCAGACAGAGAAUUAUUACCAACAUUUCACGAUGUGUCUGUAUAUCCCCAGAAGGAGCUUCCUUUUUUCAUCCACUUUACAGCAGGACUGUGCUCUUUUACAGCAAUGUUAGCCCUCCUCACACACCAAUUUCCUGAACUCAUGGUCAUUUUUACUAAAGCUGCCUGUUCCUGGAAUUAUUUGUGGCGCUGAUUCAGAAAAUUGGAUUGGAUAGACCACAUCAACUCUAUUUCUUAAAUAUGCUGUGUCGAAUGACUGGAGAGCUGUUUUUUGGAACUCUUUUGUCACCUUUGAGCUUCAUGAUGGAGAAGAUUGAGCGCCUCAUGCCUGCUGGCCUUUGGCAUCAGCUGUCUCAAAUUUGAAUGACUGGAAUUCAGUGCGUGGGUCAUGUUCUCAGAAACUCCUGUAUCAUCAGCGCCCUUUCUCAUGCAAAAAGACUUGGGGCUAAGGACGUGAAUUACUGCAAACUCCAGGGCUGAGUUUUGUUUUACAUCCUAUUGCUGGUGAUUAAAAAAUUGCUGUACCUCUUGUUAAGCCUUAGAACCUGUAUAACUUAACAAACACACAAUAGUGUGUGUCAGGGAAGUGUUGUGCUUACUCGAACAUUAGUUGUACGACUUGAGGCUGCUGCUUUCUCUUUAAGAAAUUCCAGAAAGCAAUAAAUCUGGUAAAUUGUGA